CUGACACUGUUGCGUUCUCAGGAGAGAAGUGCAGGAGAUCCCGGAAAUUAUGGAGCAUCAAAUGUUUGGCGCGGAUAGCGGAGGUAAUGGAAAUAAUGAAAAUAGAAGACAAGUAUCGAAUAUGUGUUUGAAUCUGACAGUGAAAAGGGAAAUCUUCUCGCAAAAAGAAGGAACAUAAGAAUAAGGGAUGUUUGAAGUGUUACACUCAGCCAACAGAAGCAUGUGGACAGACAUUGACUGUAAUGAUGGACAUCUGCUGAAGCACAGGCAGAAGUAUAACCCCUGCUGGACAUUGUGCUGGAACUCGGGGAGGACACCAUGAUCCCCCACACCUUCUCACUCACACCAGACCAUUCACUCAUAUCACAGAGAUCUGGCUGGACUUGAACCAGCAACCUCUGAAACCAUGAGGCAGCGCUCUUACCUCUGAGCCACAGAUCUCAUGUCUGAACAUGUGGAGGA
ensembl:lncRNA